GGCGAAGUCGACCUUGGUGCCUUGCUCUCCCUCUGCCCAUACCUCCGCGUGCUCAGGCUCAAGGGCAUUUCGCUCCGUGACUACUCGACGACGACUGUCCACUCGGCGUCACUACAGGAGCUUGCCAUGGAGGACAUGUGAAAUUUCCGGACACACCGAGUUGACAUCGUUGCUCCCAUCCUUAAGAAAUUGAAGCUGUACUUAUUGGCCAAUGCGCAGGUGAGCAUCUCCAUCUUGGCACCAAUGAUGGUAGUGUAAGUAUUGGGUCUGGUCAUUGGACCCUCGAGAAGCUGAGCCUACAGACGGCAGACACACAGGGACAGCUCACUUCGUUGCACAUUCAUGCCCGCUAUAGACGGUAUAACUUUCCUGAUGAAGAGGCCAACUUUGCACAGGAGAUCGAGAAGCAUAUGAUUGUCAACUUCUCUGUAUAUAAGCCUCACCUCUGUAUUUCCUUAGAUUCCUGCAAUAUCCCUAUAUUAGAAAUUGAUCUGCUCAAUUUACAUGUGCCAGAUGAAGGGCCUUCUUUAACUAAAUUGAGUGGAUAGAAAUAUAGAAUGCAAA